rnacentral:RNase_P_RNA from 1 species
AGCAGGCCAGACGGCCGCGGGCGGUAACGAAAGGACCCGUCUGAGGAAAGUCCGGGCUCCACAGGGCAAGGGUGCCGGGUAACACCCGGUGAAGGUGACUUCAAGGAAAGUGCAACAGAAAACAACCGCCCUCAGUUUUGAAGGUAAGGAUGAAAAGGCGAGGUAAGAGCUCACCGGCAUCACGGUGACGUGGUGGCCGUGUAAACCCCAUCCGGAGCAACACCGUUACGAGGCCGCAUUGCCUGCCCGGCAGGCCUCAGGUGGCUAGAGCCUGUCAGUAAUGCCAGGUCCAGAUAGAUGGCCGUCCAAAUGACAGAACCCGGCUUAUCGCCUGCUU